UACGUAGGGACCGAGCGUUGUCCGGAUUCAUUGGGCGUAAAGAGCUCGUAGGCGGCUGUUCAAGUCGAACGUGAAAACUCGGAGCUCAACUCCGAGCCUGCGUUCGAUACUGGACGGCUAGAGUCUGGUAGGGGGAUCUGGAAUUCCUGGUGUAGCGGUGGAAUGCGUAGAUAUCAGGAGGAACACCGGUGGCGAAAGCGGCUCACUGGCCGGAAUCUGACACUGAGGUGCGAAAGCUAGGGUAUCAAACGGG
rnacentral:rRNA from 1 species